rnacentral:rRNA from 1 species
CCUACGGGAGGCAGCAGUGGGGAAUAUUGGACAAUGGGGGCAACCCUGAUCCAGCGACGCCGCGUGUGUGAAGAAGGCCUGCGGGUUGUAAAGCACUUUUAGUGGGGAGGAAAACCCCUGACCUAACACGUCAGGAAUUGACUUAACCCAAAGAAAAAGCACCGGCUAACUCUGUGCCAGCAGCCGCGGUAAUACAGAGGGUGCAAGCGUUAAUCGGAAUUACUGGGCGUAAAGCGUGCGUAGACGGUUAUUUAAGUCGGAUGUGAAAUCCCCGGGCUCAACCUGGGAAUUGCAUUCGAGACUGAAUAGCUAGGGUGCGGAAGAGGGAAGCGGAAUUUCCGGUGUAGCGGUGAAAUGCGUAGAUAUCGGAAGGAACAUCAGUGGCGAAAGCGGCUUCCUGGUCCAGCACCGACGUUCAGGCACGAAAGCGUGGGGAGCAAACAGGAUUAGAUACCCUGGUAGUCCACGCCACUAACGAUAGAGGACGUAGAUGUUGGUAGGGUUAGUCGUUCUAGUGUCGCNGCUACGACGAGUAAGUACCGUCCGUCCGUCGGGUAGGUACGGCCGGCGACGGUUAGGUAACGUACGUAAAGUAGUAAGUUAGUUACGGUCGUUGAGACGUUGCCGACGGACGACGACGAGGGAGGUUAGG